AUUGAACGCUGGCGGCAGGCUUAACACAUGCAAGUCGAACGAGUGGCGGACGGGUGAGUAAUGCUUGGGAAUCUAGCUUAUGGAGGGGGAUAACUACGGGAAACUGUAGCUAAUACCGCGUACCAUAGGAUGAGCCCAAGUGGGAUUAGGUAGUUGGUGAGGUAAAGGCUCACCAAGCCGACGAUCUCUAGCUGGUCUGAGAGGAUGACCAGCCACACUGGGACUGAGACACGGUCCAGACUCCUACGGGAGGCAGCAGUGGGGAAUAUUGCACAAUGGGCGCAAGCUGAUGCAGCCAUGCCGCGUGUAUGAAGAAGGCCUUCGGGUUGUAAAGUACUUUCAGCGAGGAGGCGUUAACUACAGAAGAAGCACCGGCUAACUCCGUGCCAGCCGCCGCGGUAAUUC
rnacentral:rRNA from 1 species